rnacentral:piRNA from 1 species
UGAGACUCAAGGCAAAAUUUUGGCUGC